AAGUCGUAACAAGGUUUCCGUAGGUGAACCUGCGGAAGGAUCAUUAUUAGCAACGGGCGCGUAGUGCCACACCACGGGUUGCACGGUAGUGCGAUCCGUGUGUGUUGGACUCGACCCAUUCAUUUCUAACCAUGUGCGAAAGUGGGUGUUCCGGGUGUUGAAAGACGCUCGGGACACUUUCCUGACACGCUCGAUAGCCAAAUCAUAUAAAAAAACAAAUUUUAAACAACUUUUAACAAUGGAUCUCUUGGCUCUU
rnacentral:misc_RNA from 1 species